AACCUUAUGGACCUGCGGGCGUAUACCUGCGGAAGGAUCAUUAUAGAGUUUUCUAAACUCCCAAACCCAUGUGAACUUACCAUUGUUGCCUCGGCAGAACCUACCCGGUACCUACCCAGGAACGAGCUACCCUGUAGCUACCCAGGAACGGGCUACCCUGUAACGUCCUGCCGGUGGACUUCUAAACUCUUGUUAUUUAUAGUAAUCUGAGCGUCUUAUUUUAAUAAGUCAAAACUUUUA
rnacentral:misc_RNA from 1 species